CCUACGGGAGGCAGCAGUGAGGAAUCUUGGUCAAUGGGCGCUAGCCUGAACCAGCCAAGUAGCGUGAAGGAUGACUGCCCUCUUGGUUGUAAACUUCUUUUAUAUGGGAAUAAAGUGCAGCAUGUAUACUGCUUUGCAUGUACCUUAUGAAUAAGGAUCGGCUAACUCCGUGCCAGCCGCCGCGGUAAUACGGAGUGUCCGAGCGUUAUCCGGGUUUAUUGGGUUUAAAGGGAGCGUAGGCGGGUUGUUAAGUCAGUUGUGAAAGUUUGCGGCUCAACCGUAAAAUUGCAGUUGAUACUGGCAGCCUUGAGUACAGUAGAGGUAGGCGGAAUUCGUGGUGUAGCGGUGAAAUGCGUAGAUAUCACGAAGAACUCCGAUUGCGAAGGCAGCCUGCUGGACUGUAACUGACGCUGAUGCUCGAAAGUGUGGGUAGCAAACAGGAUCAGAUACCCGAGUAGUC
rnacentral:rRNA from 1 species